AACGAACGCUGGCGGCAUGCCUAACACAUGCAAGUCGAACGGGAUCCGGACUUCGGUCCGGUGAGAGUGGCGGACGGGUGAGUAACACGUGGGAACCUGCCUUUUGGUUCGGGAUAACCGCGGGAAACUGCGGCUAAUACCGGAUGCUCCCGAGAGGGAAAGAUUUAUCGCCAGAAGAGGGGCCCGCGCCCGAUUAGGUAGUUGGUGGGGUAAUGGCCUACCAAGCCGACGAUCGGUAGCUGGUCUGAGAGGAUGAUCAGCCACACUGGGACUGAGAUACGGCCCAGACUCCUACGGGAGGCAGCAGUGGGGAAUAUUGGACAAUGGGGGCAACCCUGAUCCAGCAAUGCCGCGUGAGUGAUGAAGGCCUUAGGGUUGUAAAGCUCUUUUACCAGGGACGAUGAUGACGGUACCUGGAGAAUAAGCCCCGGCUAACUUCGUGCCAGCAGCCGCGGUAAU
rnacentral:rRNA from 1 species